rnacentral:rRNA from 1 species
GGGGAAUUUUGGACAAUGGGGGAAACCCUGAUCCAGCAACGCCGCGUGAAUGAAGAAGGCCUUAGGGUUGUAAAGUUCUUUUGUCAGGGAAGAAAGUUUCUGUGCUAAUACCAUAGAACGAUGACGGUACCUGAAGAAUAAGCACCGGCUAACUACGUGCCAGCAGCCGCGGUAAUACGUAGGGUGCAAGCGUUAAUCGGAAUUACUGGGCGUAAAGCGUGCGCAGGCGGAUAUGUAAGUUAGAAGUGAAAUCCCCGGGCUCAACCUGGGAACUGCUUUUAAGACUGCGUAUCUAGAGUUUGUCAGAGGGGGGUGGAAUUCCAAGUGUAGCAGUGAAAUGCGUAGAGAUUUGGAGGAACACCGAUGGCGAAGGCAGCCCCCUGGGAUAAAACUGACGCUCAUGCACGAAAGCGUGGGUAGCAAAC